GUGCACCAGUCGAGAAUCUUCCGCAAUGGGCGAAAGCCUGACGGAGCGACGCCGCGUGCUUGAAGAAGCCCUUCGGGGUGUAAAAGCUUUUCUACCUGAGAAACCUUCGGGUGAUGUUAGGGUAGGAAUAAGGGGAGGCUAAUCACGUGCCAGAAGCCUCGGUAAUACGUGAUCCCCAAGCGUUAUCCGGAUUUAUUGGGGCGUAAAGGGUUCGUAGGCGGUUUGUAAAGUUUUUGUUAAAGGUUGGGGCUCAACUCCAAAAAUGCAAAAAAACUACAAACUAGAGGGCGUUAGAGGCUGAUGGAA
rnacentral:rRNA from 1 species